CAGCAGCCACGGUAAUACGAAGGGUGCAAGCGUUACUCGGAAUUACUGGGCGUAAAGCGUGCGUAGGUGGUGGUUUAAGUCUGUUGUGAAAGCCCUGGGCUCAACCUGGGAAUUGCAGUGGAUACUGGGUCACUAGAGUGUGGUAGAGGAUAGUGGAAUUUCCGGUGUAGCAGUGAAAUGCGUAGAGAUCGGAAGGAACAUCUGUGGCGAAGGCGACUAUCUGGGCCAACACUGACACUGAGGCACGAAAGCGUGGGGAGCAAACAGGAUUAGAUACCCCUGUAGUCCCUGUCUCUUAUAC
rnacentral:rRNA from 1 species